UGAAAAUAAAUAUAGUUAAUUUAAUAUUAGCUUGUCAAGCUAAAGAUGUGAAAUCCCUCAA
rnacentral:tRNA from 1 species